UUUCCUUCCCGUUACACACUAAGGAGGAAUGUGCAGAGCUGCUUGCCGGCCCACCGCUGCCUGGGGGGCUGCAGCUAACUUCGAAAUGCCGUGCAAAGAGGCCAGAGGUUUUCAUAGCCAUCUAAGGACUACGAGUUCAUUAGCCUCAGCAUCACAUUGGGAGCUCAUGUUCAGCUGAUUAUCCACCACGACUCCCGCAUCUCAUUCAGAGUCCCUGCUUCCCAAGAUAGAGUCCCCCAUCAUGUUUACUAUUUCUCCCAAGCAACAGUUUUCUCUACCCAGCAUCUACAAAGGUAAAGCCAUUGCAGCUACAGAUGUCCCCAUGAUCAAAGCUUGAAACAAGAGUUCUCAGCUCCAGGGUAUACUCUGGCCUCCUACGAAGAGAGGCCAGCAAAACCCAGCCACCUCCCUCAAAGCUCUUACUCGUCUGUUUUCCUUUUAAACCACCGGCUACCAUUUUCUAGAGAGACCUGCAGCUCAUGCAUUGGUCCCAGCCCAUAGUGCUGGAUUAACACUGGGGCUUUAGGGGCUGCAGUCCAGGGCCUCGGGCUAAGGGAGCCCCCACAAACAUAAAUCCAUAAUUAUAUACAAUUACAGUGGUCACAAACCCGUCAAUUGUGAUCGCCUGGUUGAUCCUGGAGCUUCUGCCGGUCAAUCGCAAUCUCUGGGACGCUAAAAGUCCAGUGGAACAGCAGGGCUCAGACAGGCUGCCUGCAUGCCGUGUUCCCACUCCGCAUCCGGAAGCGGCCAGCUGCUGGCACGUCUCUGCGGCCCCUGGGGAGGGUGAAGGUGGCUCUGUGCACUGCUCCUGCCCCCAGCACCGUCCCCGCAGCUCCCAUUAGCCGGGAACCAGUCAGAGCCUGCACCUCACACUCCCUUCUGCACCCCAACCCCCUGCCCCAGGUCAGAAUCCCCUCCUGCACCAAACUCCCUCCCAGAGCCCGCACCCCUCACCCUCACCUGCACCCCAACACUCUGCCCCAGCCUGGAGCCCCCUCCUGCACCUUAACUCCCUCCCCGAAAGAAACUAAUAUAACAGCUGUUCUGAGGUAAGAAGUAGGCUAUUUUGAAUUAACUUAACUAUAGUCUACAUGUUUUAAGACUGAAAUGUAACCACAGAAAUGCUUUAUGUUAAUUAAAAGACAAGUUUAGUAUAGCAUUAAUAGCUUCGAUGCCAUAAUAGUGAUAAUUUUGUUUUAAAUUAGGAAAAAGACUUGUAUACAGGGGCCCCACAAAAUCUAACAGUCCUGGGCCCACAGGAGAGUUAAUCCGGCUCUGCCAGCCCACAUAUACAUGGUAUCAGUACAUUUAAGAUAGUGCAGUGAAAAUAGGAUCUGAGUUCCCCCGCUUUCUCUGGAUCAUCUCACUGGCCAGAGUUGGGCCAUUCUAACUCUUCAAGCAGUGGUACAGUAAAGAAGGCUGAGCUGACGAAUAUUUAUUGCUUAAACUAUAUGGAUCAAUCCGGUUGUAGAAGCAGGAUGGACUAAAUGACCUAUUAGAUCUUUUCCAUCUCUAACGUAUGCGGUAGCUCACCAGUCAGGCCUGGGAAUAGGCCCUUUGAUAUCCAGACAAGCUACCCAGGAGGAGGAGGAAGGGGAAGGCAGAGAUGGAGUGCUGUGAAAAAGUCUUCAGUACGCUUUGCCCUUUGAUCAGCACUGUGCAUUACCAAAGAGGCCUUGUCUCUACAUUAGGGUUACCAUAUUUCAGCAAGC